rnacentral:rRNA from 1 species
ACUCCUACGGGAGGCAGCAGUGGGGAAUAUUGGUCAAUGGGCGAAAGCCUGAACCAGCAAUGCCGCGUGGGUGAUGAAGGCCUUCGGGUUGUAAAGCCCUGUCAGUGGGAAAGAAAAAGACGGUUAACACCCAUACUUGACGGUGCCCACAAAGGAAGCACCGGCUAACUCUGUGCCAGCAGCCGCGGUAAUACAGAGGGUGCAAGCGUUGUUCGGAAUUACUGGGCGUAAAGCGCGUGUAGGCGGCUUAUUAAGUCGGACGUGAAAUCCCUUGGCUCAACCAAGGAACUGCGUCCGAUACUGUUGAGCUUGAGUAUCGGAGGGGGUGGCGGAAUUCCUGGUGUAGAGGUGAAAUACGUAGAUAUCAGGAGGAACACCUGUGGCGAAGGCGGCCACCUGGAAGAUUACUGACGCUGAGACGCGAAAGCGUGGGGAGCAAACAGGAUUAGAUACCCUGGUAG